rnacentral:rRNA from 1 species
AUGUUGUCCAUUGGACCAUCAUCCGAUGCCCGAGGUCGCAUGGAGCACCUCAACUUAGUAACUGAAGGAUUGGAGAAAAACCAGGAUGCCGAAGUGACGCGGGAGGAGGCAGCCAUGGCAUACGACAUCACCGCCAUAGAGCAUCACGGCCUCAAUGCCGUCACCAACUUUGAUGUUAGUCGCUACAUCAGGUGGCACCACCGCUGCCACCCUGAGAACGCGGCCGGUCUUAACACCGCUCUCUAUGUCAAUGAUCGGUUGCAACCACCCCAGGCGAGUCCAACGUCUCAUGCGGCGUCGGCGCUUGGCCCGCUGCCGCGAUCGCCCAGGUUGAAGGAGAUGAUGGAGCGGGUGGCGGCCUCCCAGAGCAACACCGACUCGCCAUCUUCGUCGCGUCCUCCCUCACCACCACCACCGAUGACAUAUCGGCAAGAGCCGAAGCCUAGAAAUUUUUCAACGCGGUGCAACAUUCCGGACGAUGUGCAGACAUACUUCUAG